UACGUAGGCAGCAAGCGUUGUUCGGAGUUACUGGGCGUAAAGGGUGCGUAGGCGGCUUUUUAAGUUUGGUGUGAAAUCUCCCGGCUCAACUGGGAGGGUGCGCCGAAUACUGAGAGGGUAGAGUGUGGGAGAGGAAAGUGGAAUUCCUGGUGUAGCGGUGAAAUGCGUAGAUAUCAGGAGGAACACCGGUGGUGUAAACGGCUUUCUGGACCAUAACUGACGCUGAGGCACGAAAGCGUGGGUAGCAAACAGG
rnacentral:rRNA from 1 species